UGUCAGCCCCCCGCAACGGGUAGCCGUGAACCCCGCCAGGCCCGGAAGGGAGCAACGGUAGCGGUGAGCCUGUGUGCCGGGUGUAAGCUGGCGGAG
rnacentral:SRP_RNA from 1 species